rnacentral:lncRNA from 1 species
CCCCCCCUUUUGGGCCCUCUGACCACAGGCCCUGUGACGCUGUUGGCCCCUCUGCACCGAAUCUCACUGUUGGGUCCCCUCGGCCUCCCACGUUCUGCUCUCCUGCCAGGCUCUUCCGCCUCUCCGCGAGCUGAGAAACACUCGCACAUCCCUGCUGACCGUUCUGGGAGCGGAGCCCAGUCCCGGGGCAGCCUCUUCUGUACUGCCUGGGCUGCUCGGCUGUCUCAGCGUUUCCUGGUCCCCCAGUCGGCGGCAACACGGUGCAAGACUCCCUCCUGGGACGGUGCAAGGCUCUCGGCAGGCGUGGGGGGAGGAGGCUGCCCCUCCACGCCCCUGAAGAGAGUGGUGGGCACUUGGCAACAGCGCCCUCCAAAGGAAUCUUUUCCCAACUCCUUCUCUCUUCUCCGGAUCUUACAGACUCUUCCGUGUUCUCAAGCCGCGGGUUGUGCUCAAGGAUCAUAGAACCAGCUUUAUGAUAUUUCCCUUGUGAAUUCUGCACGUUGUGAACUUGCCCACACUCGGCCAUGCCUGGGCCUCGGGGGAGACUGAGGCAGGAGAAGUCGCAUCUAACAGGCACCCCUCUUGUAAGUCACCCUGCCUCAAAGAGUAAAAGUGUGUUUAACCUGCUUUAAGAUCCAGAACAGUCCGUGGCCCUGACCUUCAGAGCAGACCCCUGGGAACCAUUUGAAAGCAGUGCUGCCGUUGGCCCCUCCCACUGAUAAGGAAGUGACUUCAGGUGCCCAGGGCUUGUUCACCCAUGGCAAUCAAUGUUAAAGCUUCCAAGAGCAAAGGGUGGGCUCCAUGGGGAUGCAGAGUGGGGAACCCCGUGCUUUUGCUGCAGGGAUGGAAAUCACAGAGUGCUGGAUGUCACGCCCAUCGCUAAGCCACACCUCAUCAUUACUGAACAGGAACCAGGCACUGAGGGGAGCAGAAGGCUUCCAGGGUGAGACAAUACAUCCCACAAUCUGGGGUAACAACAGCGGCCAUCUUUAAACAUGGGUGAUAUGCAAAGCAUUGGGGGGGGCACUUUGCAUAUGUUAUUUCUAAUCCUCGUGACUGCUCUGUCUGCUAGAUAUUUACUACCCCAUUUUACAGAUGAGAAAAGUGUGGCUCAGAGAAUUUAACUACCCAGUCCAGUGCCACACAGCUAGUUAUUUGUGGAGUUGGGAUUCAAACCCAGUGCUUAGGACUCUACAACUCAUUCUCUUCCCAUAAUCCUAUGUUGUCUCUCAGGAAUGGUGUCCACCUUGGAAAAGGAUGGCAAGGAGAAGGUAGUUGGCAAUGGAUCUUGCCACAUUGCAGGGUUCCUUGUGAGAUUUAAAGUUUAGACAAAUGAUUGCUUUGCCU